rnacentral:rRNA from 1 species
CAGCCGCCGCGGGAAUACGAAGGGCGCAAGCGUUACUCGGAAUUACUGGGCGUAAAGCGUGCGCAGGCGGUUUUUUAAGUCUGGUGUCUAAGUGCGGGGCUCAACCCCGUGACGCACUGGAAACUGGGAGACUUGAGUGCAGAAGAGGAGAGCGGAAUUCCACGUGUAGCAGUGAAAUGCGUAGAUAUGCGGAGGAACACCGAUGGCGAAGGCAAUCCCCUGGACCUGUACUGACGCUCAUGCACGAAAGCGUGGGGAGCAAACAGGAUUAGAUACCCGCGUAGUCCCUGUCUCUUAUACA